rnacentral:misc_RNA from 1 species
AAGUCGUAACAAGGUUUCCGUAGGUGAACCUGCGGAAGGAUCAUUAUCGAGUCUUACUUAUAUUUGGCUUGGAUUGGCUGUGCAUGCUCUUCGGAGCUUUGAACGUCAACUCUGGGUUCCGAAUGUUUGACUUACACACCUGUGCACCUUUGACUCGUCCGAAUCCAUGUAUGUGAUUUGUUUCGCGUACGGUCUGCUCCUCGUGAGUGGGAUUUUUGAGCGUUGCGGUGAGUUGAAAAAUUCAUAGCUCGCUCUGGGAUGAAAGACUUGUCUUUUUUUACACCAUUUUGUAUGUCUCUUGAAAAUCUUCGGUUGCUCUGUAAUGGGGUAAUCGUAUUAAAUUAAAUACAACUUUCAGCAACGGAUCUCUUGGCUCUC